AAGAUAUUUUGGAAAUUUUUCCAUCUGAAAUAGCAUCAACUUGGUUCUUCCCGGCAGUGAAAGUAAAUGGGAAACAGAUCUAUCCUAAAGGUGUUUUAUAUAAUAAAUACGUCAGUAUUGGAAAGAAAUAUCGAGCUAGUGGCUCGCGUAGUGGUACUCACUUGGGAAGUAUAACCACUGUUCCUAUACAAACGGAAGAUGUUGCUUUAUGUUUGAGUUGGCUAAAGACUAGCGAUGAGCCUUGGAGUCAAGUUGAAAAGCACUGAAAAAUCACUGCAAAUUAUCGGCUUGAAGUCUUAAGAAGCGAAACUGUAAUAGUGGGGAGAAAACACAAAAACUAAGCAAGGAGAAAUAUUUUUGUCAUAAAGUUUUUCAAUAUAUCUCUUUACAUCCAGUUCUUCUACAAAACGACGGAUAUAAAUU